rnacentral:rRNA from 1 species
GAUGAACGCUAGCGAUAGGCUUAACACAUGCAAGUCGAGGGGCAGCACAAGGUAGCUUGCUAUCUGGGUGGCGACCGGCGCACGGGUGCGUAACGCGUAUGCAACUUGCCCUAUACAGGAGGAUAACCCGUCGAAAGACGGACUAAUACUGCGUAUGCUCACAACUUGGCAUCAAGUGGUGAGGAAAGAAAUUCGGUAUAGGAUAGGCAUGCGUCCCACUAGCUUGUUGGUGAGGUAACGGCUCACCAAGGCAACGAUGGGUAGGGGAACUGAGAGGUUUAUCCCCCACACUGGUACUGAGACACGGACCAGACUCCUACGGGAGGCAGCAGUGAGGAAUAUUGGUCAAUGGGCGCGAGCCUGAACCAGCCAAGUCGCGUGAAGGAUGACUGUCUUAUGGAUGGUAAACUUCUUUUAUACGGGAAUAACAAGAGUCACGUGUGACUCCCUGCAUGUACCGUAUGAAUAAGCAUCGGCUAACUCCGUG